GGUAUUCCUCAGCCUACUCCUGGAAAGGAUUUCUCAGGACGCAGGGGUCCUGGCUAGAAUCCCUCGGGGGGGACAAUGAGGGGCACAGAGGACAGUGUGUGGCUAUCUCUGGGUCUCUGUUCUCCCAGGUGGACCAGUGGGGGUCGUGGCGAUGCUGUCCAGGAUGAGGUCCAGCUACGGUUGCCGUCCUGUCUGUCAGCACCAGCACCCAGCACAUCUGUAGGGCCUGGGCCCCAGACCCAGCCUGAGGGUUAUGAGGAGGUUUCCUGAAGGAGAAAAGCCAGAGUGGAGUCUGGAAUGGAGCAGGGGGGACCAUGGCCUGCCCGCAGUCUGCUAGGUGGGGCUGGAACCUGGGGUUUUGCUUGGGUGUGAGGAAGGAAGAGGCUGGGGAUGCAGCUAGGUGCUGGUUCCUCAUAGACUGAGUCAUGAUUUAUGGGGACCCUCAAUUAUAUCCCCUUAGCAGGGGCCACAAAGUCUCAAAUCUGCCCGGAAAUCCAUACCUCGGAGCUCAGGUGAGGUCUUCUUCAGGUUCUCCUUCUGCAGUGCAGAUACUGUCAGAAAGAGCAAGCUACAAAUGGAGAAGUCAACAACACUCUAGUGAGAAUUACCCUGCCAAUUAAUUUUCUCAGAAAUCGGGGACUCAGGGACCUUGCUGCCGAGGCUGCCACCUCAGCUGCCUGUCUGUGAAAUGGGUCCAUGUGUCCCCAUGUCUUGGCCCGUCUCCUCUUCCCUACAGGCUGCUGUGCAGCCUGGGGCCCCUUCCAGGCCACCUUCUCCAUCUGCCCACUGAGGAGGGACCCCUGAGGAAGCGAGGCUCCAGCUUGGCUGCACCCAGCUGAAAGG
rnacentral:lncRNA from 1 species